GCCGGUUACCAUUAGAGAGUCUCAAUCUCUACGAGAAUCAAUUCGAAGGGAAUUUGCCUGCAAGCAUUGCGAACUCGCCGCGAUUAUACGAACUCAGGCUGUUUCGUAACAGACUCACCGGCGAGUUGCCCCAAAAUCUUGGCAAAAACUCAUCGCUGAGAUGGCUUGACGUGUCAAGCAACAAAUUCACCGGCGAAAUCCCUGCGACUUUGUGUGCGAAGGGCGAGUUAGAGGAGAUGCUAAUGAUAUACAAUUCAUUUUCGGGUCAAAUACCUCAAAGUUUAAGUGACUGCCAGAGCUUGGCCCGAGUCCGCUUAGGGCACAACCAGCUGUCCG
rnacentral:misc_RNA from 1 species